rnacentral:rRNA from 1 species
CUGAGUUUUGAUCCUGGCUCAGGACGAACGCUGGCGGCGUGCCUAAUACAUGCAAGUCGAGCGGACAGAUGGGAGCUUGCUCCCUGAUGUUAGCGGCGGACGGGUGAGUAACACGUGGGUAACCUGCCUGUAAGACUGGGAUAACUCCGGGAAACCGGGGCUAAUACCGGAUGGUUGUUUGAACCGCAUGGUUCAAACAUAAAAGGUGGCUUCGGCUACCACUUACAGAUGGACCCGCGGCGCAUUAGCUAGUUGGUGAGGUAACGGCUCACCAAGGCAACGAUGCGUAGCCGACCUGAGAGGGUGAUCGGCCACACUGGGACUGAGACACGGCCCAGACUCCUACGGGAGGCAGCAGUAGGGAAUCUUCCGCAAUGGACGAAAGUCUGACGGAGCAACGCCGCGUGAGUGAUGAAGGUUUUCGGAUCGUAAAGCUCUGUUGUUAGGGAAGAACAAGUACCGUUCGAAUAGGGCGGUACCUUGACGGUACCUAACCAGAAAGCCACGGC